CGUGUAGGCGGCUUGACAAGUCGGAUGUGAAAUCCCGGGGCCCAACCCCGGAACUGCAUUCGAAACUGUCUCGCUAGAGUCUCGGAGAGGGUGGCGGAAUUCCCGGUGUAGAGGUGAAAUUCGUAGAUAUCGGGAGGAACACCAGUGGCGAAGGCGGCCACCUGGACGAUGACUGACGCUGAGACGCGAAAGCGUGGGGAGCAAACAGGAUUAGAUACCCUGGUAGUCC
rnacentral:rRNA from 1 species